rnacentral:rRNA from 1 species
GAUGAAAGCUAGCUACAGGCUUAAAACAUGCCAGUCGAGGGACCGGCGCACGGGUGAGUAACACGUAUCCAACCUGCCCUUUACUCGGGGAUAGCCUUUCGAAAGAAAAAUUCAUACCCGAUAUAAAGGAUGGGGAUUCUUUCCAUUAGGUUGUUGUGGAGGUAACGGCUCACCAAGCCUUCGAUGGAUCGGGGUUCGGAGAGGAAGGUCCCCCACAGUGGAACUGAGACACGGUCCAAACUCCUACGGGAGGCAGCAGUGAGGAAUAUUGGUCAAUGGGCGCUAGCCUGAACCAGCCAAGUAGCGUGAAGGAUGAAGGCUUAUGGGUCGUAAACUUCUUUUAUAUAAGAAUAUGUAUUAUAUGAAUAAGGAUCGGCUAACUCCGUGCCAGCAGCCGCGGUAAUUC